GACGAACGCUGGCGGCGUGCUUAACACAUGCAAGUCGUACGGUAAGGCCCUUUCGGGGGUACACGAGUGGCGAACGGGUGAGUAACACGUGAGUAACCUGCCCACAACUUUGGGAUAACGCUAGGAAACUGGUGCUAAUACUGGAUAUGUGCUCCUGCUGCAUGGUGGGGGUUGGAAAGCUCCGGCGGUUGUGGAUGGACUCGCGGCCUAUCAGCUUGUUGGUGGGGUAGUGGCCUACCAAGGCGGCGACGGGUAGCCGGCCUGAGAGGGUGACCGGCCACAUUGGGACUGAGAUACGGCCCAGACUCCUACGGGAGGCAGCAGUGGGGAAUAUUGCACAAUGGGCGCAAGCCUGAUGCAGCAACGCCGCGUGCGGGAGGACGGCCUUCGGGUUGUAAACCGCUUUCAGCAGGGACGAAGCUUUUUGUGACGGUACCUGCAGAAGAAGCACCAGCUAACUACGUG
rnacentral:rRNA from 1 species